UCCCUCAUAGCUCAGUCAGUGAAGAGUCUGCCUGCAAUGCAGGAGACCCAGGUUUGAUUCCUGGGUCGGGAA
rfam:Ovis aries breed Texel chromosome 2, whole genome shotgun sequence.